AGUGAACGCUGGCGGCAGGCCUAACACAUGCAAGUCGAGCGGCAGCACGGCAAUAGCAAUAUUGUGGGUGGCGAGCGGCGGACGGGUGAGGAAUGCAUCGGGAUCUACCCUGUCGUGGGGGACAACGUAGGGAAACUUACGCUAAUACCGCAUGAUCUGGAGACAGCAAAGCCGGGGACCUUCGGGCCUGGCGCGAUGGGAUGAGCCGAUGUCCGAUUAGCUAGUUGGCGGGGUAAAGGCCCACCAAGGCGACGAUCGGUAGCUGGUCUGAGAGGACGACCAGCCACACUGGAACUGAGACACGGUCCAGACUCCUACGGGAGGCAGCAGUGGGGAAUUUUGGACAAUGGGCGCAAGCCUGAUCCAGCAAUGCCGCGUGCAGGAAGAAGG
rnacentral:rRNA from 1 species